rnacentral:rRNA from 1 species
AGAACGAACGCUGGCGGCAUGCCUAAUACAUGCAAGUCGAACGAACUCUUCGGAGUUAGUGGCGCACGGGUGCGUAACGCGUGGGAAUCUGCCCUUGGGUUCGGAAUAACAGUUGGAAACGACUGCUAAUACCGGAUGAUGACGAAAGUCCAAAGAUUUAUCGCCCAGGGAUGAGCCCGCGUAGGAUUAGCUAGUUGGUGAGGUAAAGGCUCACCAAGGCGACGAUCCUUAGCUGGUCUGAGAGGAUGAUCAGCCACACUGGGACUGAGACACGGCCCAGACUCCUACGGGAGGCAGCAGUAGGGAAUAUUGGACAAUGGGCGAAAGCCUGAUCCAGCAAUGCCGCGUGAGUGAUGAAGGCCUUAGGUUGUAAAGCUUCUUUACCCGAGAUGAUAAUGACAGUAUCGGAGAAUAAGCCCCGGACUAACUCCGUGCCAGCAGCCGC